rnacentral:rRNA from 1 species
GGAGGGUGCAAGCGUUGUUCGGAAUUACUGGGCGUAAAGCGCGUGUAGGCGGUCGGGCAAGUCAGAUGUGAAAGCCUUCCGCUUAACGGAAGAAGUGCAUUUGAAACUACCCGGCUGGAGUACGGGAGAGGAGAGUGGAAUUCCCGGUGUAGAGGUGAAAUUCGUAGAUAUCGGGAGAAACACCAGUGGCGAAGGCGGCUCUCUGGUCCGAUACUGACGCUGAGACGCGAAAGCGUGGGGAGCAAACAGGAUUAGAUACCCUGGUAGUCCACGCCGUAAACGAUGGGCACUAGGUGUAGGAGGUAUUGACCCCUUCUGUGCCGAAGUUAACGCAUUAAGUGCUCCGCCUGGGGAGUACGGCCGCAAGGUUA